rnacentral:lncRNA from 1 species
ACACACAUAACGUCAGUGGCUGUCCAUCAGUACACAUAUCAGCACGUUGGUCCUAGGACUCAGCAAGCUGACCCUUCCCGCGGACUGUUCGGGUGAUUUUGGCCCACGUGGGCUGUCUGUUCAGUACACACAGGACGUCCGGGGGUGUAGAAACCCGUUAAAAAAAAAAAAAAAAAAAAAUAUUAUUAUUUAGUGGUCGUACCGCGGGCAAUGGAUGGUCAAAGAAUUGAUCAUGGGUGAACCAUAAGCUGCUGGACCAUGGUUAGAAAAGUGUUAGAUUGAUCAGAAGGAUGUUUUGGAAGAAUCACAUUUUUGAAGCACGACGGUUUAGAAGCUCGACGUUUUUGAAGAUUGACGUUUCUUCAUCGCGAAGUUUUCUCAGAAUGUCUUCGUAUCAGUAAAAUAUUAU